AAAAACAUAGCCCCUAAAAUAAUUAGAGGUGUGACCUGCCCAAUGAUUACUAAGUUAAACAUGUUAAAAUCAUUUUAAUGUAAUUUAAAGGACGCGGUAUCUUGACCGUGAUAAUGUAGCAUAAUCACUCGCCACUUAAUUAGUGGAUUGUAUGAAUGGUUGAACGAAUAUAACACUGUCUCAAGUAAAGAAUUUAUUAAAUUGGAGUAAUAGUAAAGAUACUAUUAGAAAUUAUAAGACGAAAAGACCCUAUAGAGCUUAACUAUAAUUUCUUUGAUAUAUAAUAAAUUAAUUUAUUUCAAUAAAGAAAUUGGUAGUUUAGUUGGGGCGACUAUCUUCUAAAGAUAACGAAGAUAAACAAAAUUAAUUAGAAUAAUUUAUUGUAUAAUUAAUAUAUUUAACAAUUAUGAAUGUAGGUAAUGAUGACCCGUUUUACUUAAAGAAGAAAAUAAAACGAUUAAUAAAUAAAAGCUACCUUAGGGAUAACAGGAUAAUUUUAUUUUAGAGAUCUUAUCGAAAAUAAAGUUUGUCACCUCGAUGUUGAAUUUAU
rnacentral:rRNA from 1 species